rnacentral:rRNA from 1 species
UACGUAGGGGGCAAGCGUUGUCCGGAUUUAUUGGGCGUAAAGAGCGUGUAGGCGGCUUGGUAGGUCUCGCGUCAAAACCUGAGGCUCAACCUCAGUUCGCGUGGGAAACCACCUAGCUAGAGUCCGGAAGAGGAGAACGGAAUUCCCAGUGUAGCGGUGAAAUGCGCAGAUAUUGGGAAGAACACCAGUGGCGAAGGCAGUUCUCUGGGACGGUACUGACGCUGAGACGCGAAAGCGUGGGGAGCGAACAGG